UAGAGUUUGAUCCUGGCUCAGAAUGAACGCUGGCGGCGUGCCUAACACAUGCAAGUCGGACGCGAACGGGGCUUCGGCCCUCAGUAGAGUGGCGCACGGGUGAGUAACGCGUAGGUAAUCUCCCUCUGGAUUGGGGAUAACUCUGCGAAAGCGGAGCUAAUACCGAAUGGUCUGGCUUUAUUUCGAUGAAGUCGGUAAAGGAUGCCUCUGCAUAUGCAUCUGUCCAGAGAUGAGCCUGCGUCCCAUUAGCUAGUUGGUAGGGUAAAGGCCUACCAAGGCGACGAUGGGUAGCUGGUCUGAGAGGAUGAUCAGCCACACUGGAACUGGAACACGGUCCAGACUCCUACGGGAGGCAGCAGUGGGGAAUAUGGGCAAUGGGCGCAAGCCUGACCCAGCAACGCCGUGUGAGGGAUGAAGGCCUUCGGGUCGUAAACCUCUGUCAGAAGGGAAGAACGGGCAUAGUUCGAAUAGGGCUGUGCUUUGACGGUACCUUCAGAGGAAGCACCGGCUAACUCCGUGCCAGCAGCCGCGGUAAUACA
rnacentral:rRNA from 1 species